AGAUUGAACGCUGGCGGCAUGCCUUACACAUGCAAGUCGAACGGCAGCACGGGAGCAAUCCUGGUGGCGAGUGGCGAACGGGUGAGUAAUACAUCGGAACGUGCCCAAUCGUGGGGGAUAACGCAGCGAAAGCUGUGCUAAUACCGCAUAAGAUCUACGGAUGAAAGCAGGGGAUCGCAAGACCUUGCGCGAAUGGAGCGGCCGAUGGCAGAUUAGGUAGUUGGUGAGGUAAAGGCUCACCAAGCCUUCGAUCUGUAGCUGGUCUGAGAGGACGACCAGCCACACUGGGACUGAGACACGGCCCAGACUCUACGGGAGCAGCAGUGGGAAUUUGGACAAUGGCGAAGCCUGAUCCAGCCAUGCCGCGUGCAGGAUGAAGCCGUCGGUUGUAACUGCUUUGUACGAACGAAAGUACUCUUUACUAAUAAGAGGAUACA
rnacentral:rRNA from 1 species